AGAGUUGUAUCCUGGCUCAGAACGAACGCUGGCGGCAUGCCUAACACAUGCAAGUCGAACGAGAAAGCACUUCGGUGUGAGUAGAGUGGCGCACGGGUGAGUAACACGUAGGUGACCUGCCAUACAGUGGGGGAUAACCGGAAGAAAUUCCGGCUAAUACCGCAUACGUAGAGCAAUUUUGAAAGUAGCUCUAGAAAGGAUGCUUCGGCAUUCGCUGAAUGAUGGGCCUGCGUAGCAUUAGUUUGAUGGUGGGGUAACGGCCUACCAUGACUACGAUGCUUAGCUGGUCUGAGAGGAUGAUCAGCCACACUGGAACUGAGACACGGUCCAGACUCCUACGGGAGGCAGCAGUGGGGAAUAUUGCGCAAUGGGGGAAACCCUGACGCAGCAAUGCCGCGUGAGUGAGGAAGGGUUUCGGCUCGUAAAGCUCUGUCAGAUGGGAAUAAUGGUUAGUGGUCUAAUAGGCCAUUGAUUUGAAGGUACCUUCAAAGGAAGCACCGGCUAACUUCGUGCCAGCAGCCGCGGUAAUACGAAGGGUGCAAGCGUUGUUCGGAUUUAUUGGGCGUAAAGCGCGCGCAGGCGGACGGCUAAGUCAGAUGUGAAAUCUCGGGGCUCAGCCCCGAAACUGCGUCUGAAACUGGUCGUCUAGAAUCUCGGAGAGGAAAGGGGAAUUUCGCAU
rnacentral:rRNA from 1 species